rnacentral:tRNA from 1 species
GCCUUCGUGGCGUAACGGUAGCACACUCGGCACGUACUCGACAGGUCCAGGUUCGAAUCCUGACGAGGGCA